CAAUCAACAAUGAGGAGCAAGAUGAUGCUUGGGGUCCCUUCCAACUCUGAUUCUAUGUUAUAUUUUGGGGAGGGAUCUUUUGAUUCGUGUCAAUUACAGGAUAUCAUGUUUUUUUUAUAGUAAAAUUUAAUAAACAAUGAUAAAUACAUAAAUAAAUGCAGCUGAUUUUUCUGCCCUCCAGAGAGAGAGAGAGAGAAAUGAAAUGCCUUCUGCCAUUGUGUCAUUUAUUGGAGGCUGUCUUGGAAAAUAGAAAACAGUAAAUAGCAGUGAGGAAAACGGGUUUGGGAUGGUCGCAAGCUGCCCCAGGGGAAGGGGGUGAGUUGGAGGAGGAGGGGCAGGGUGAGGCAGCAGCUCCAACUGUGUGGGUCUGGGUGUGGGGCUCAGCACCCUUCUCGGACAAGGAGAGGCACCUUUCACCUGACCUCCAGGUAGGGUUGGGGGGAAAUCGAACUCACCUCUCUCUGGCGUAUCCCAGUCGAAGAUCCACCAGGCAAAAUACAGGACGCUGAUAGACCAGUAGGAGGUGAAGAGCAGGUAGACCAGGAGAAUGGAGAAGAAGGCACCUGGGGGGGGGGAGGCCAGAGGCAGGUGAGGGGCAGGCCGGCCUCCAGGCUGAAAGCUCCCUGGGUGGUGGGGAGGUGUCUGAAGGGGUCCAUCUAGGGCAGGCUUCCUCAGCCUCUGCCCUCCAGGCCCCACGAGGAGGAGGAGGCAUAGCUGUCGACGUUCCCCUUUUUUAAAGGGAAAUUCCCUUAUUCCGAAAAGGAUUCCUCGCAAGAAAAGGGAAAGUUGACAGCUGUGGGAGGAGGCCAAGCUGCUCCUCUUCCCUGAGCACCCCUGCCCCUCCCUCCCCCCCAGCUCCCAACUUACCAAAGAAGAGGUAGGUGAGGACCCACUGGAAGACGCUAAGGGCCUCCAGGUGCUUCUGCAGAGCCAUCUUCUGACCCUGGGUCUCAGGAAGAGGAAGAGAUCCUGGGGAGAAAAUCCACCGGGGGGGGGCUGCAGCAGGACUCCAGCCAGGAGGGGCCCCUGCCUUGGCAGAAGGGAGAACGUGAAGACGCAGGUGUUUUCAGCACAGGUGGCCUCUGACCUGCAUCCUUUCAAAGCCCAGCUGCUCCCCUUCAGCCAUGCCCUCGGGAGGGGGGCAGCAUGUGGGGGAGGAGGAAAGAGGCUCACUUGUCCAGGAGAAGAUGAUGUCCUGUCCGUGGCUGCAAUGCACAAGUCUCUCUCUGCCGCCUGCACUUUGGUCCCCAGGAGGGUAGAACAAGAAAUCCAUGAGCAUAAAUAAAGUGUUUCUGAGCCGCAGUGCUGGGCAGAGCAGGAGUGGCCAUGAUCCCAGAAGCAGAAGAGCACCUACUCGGACCUUUUCCUCUCAGCUGUCAAUGGGCAACACCUGAUAAAGGGAAAGACAGAAAAAUCAUACUGUAUACUCACAAUAUUGGCACAAGAGACUGGAUGAGCAGAAUUGAGCUGACCUAACUGUAAUGCCAAAAGGAAUGUAAAAUAUUUGCUCCGAGAGGAAAAGGCAGGCAAUACACUGACACCUUGACUGACAGCUGACAGGUAAUGGACUCAAAUGUCUGUCACUCCACCUGUUUUAAGGCGAAGAAUAAGGUUUGAAUGAUGCUUCUCUGAAAUGAAUUGUAGGGGGAAAAUGUAACUUCUAAAAGGAGUUACAUGCCUUUGUUUGGGACUUAUUCUUUCCGGGCUUAGAGGUUGAAAUCUUAUCGCAACAAUAAAGACAAGGCUUAAUAGCUGCUUCUUGCUUUCCU